AAACACCUCUGUUCUUCACAUCCAGGGGUAUAUCAGUACGUUAUACCGUUGUGUUUGAGACGGAUCCUGAGAAUGCUGAUGACAAUGGCAUUGGACAAAAUGAUGGGACAGUGAUCCCUUCUGUUGAAACCAACCUGAAGCUGAUGAUAGAAAAGGCACUGACAGAAGAUCCUUCCCUGGCAAAGGAUCUCAGGUUUCUAAGAUUUGAUCCAGAGAAAAUAAUCCUGCCAACCCUGUCACCACCUACAGAAAGUUCAGAAGAAGUCAGUAAUCUAGAGCCGGGGGCUGUCACACCUGGCCUGACACCAUCUACAGAAGUGCCCAUCAUCACUAUUGAGGAGCCCAACUUAGAAGUCACACACACCUCAGUGGAGACAGAAAAUUCCUCUGAAAACACCUUGGACUCUUCAGCUGGUAAAGAUUUGAUGAAGCACACUACCAUGAAAACUACAGUUCUGGCUACUGCAACAGACAAUGAAUGGGCACAUGCUGAAAGCAGCACUCUGUUCACAACCAAUGUGACUCUGGAUGAAUCAGACCUUUUGUCUGAACAUGGGUUUGAGCCAACGAACAUAAAUCAGACAAGAGAGACAUUAAUAAAUGAACCAGAUGUGGUUGAGCCAAUCAUCACACACGUAACAGAAUCCAUACUAGAGGACAACAGCCAGCUUAGAAGAGACUUUGUUCCAACUAUGACUCCAGAAGAGAAUACUCUGGAGACCCCUAAUUUCAUGUCAACUAUUGUGCCAUAUGAGCAAAACUUAAUAUCCAGUAUUUCUGAAGAGAAAGAUAUUGUUUCACCUUUGGCUGAUUUAGUUGAUCAGUUGACCACCAUUCCUCAGCGUGAACUUCCAGUUACUGUUCCAGAAUAUGGCUUCAUCACUCCAGCUGGUAACAUAAAUGAAAUUAUUUCAGAAGAAAGUGCUGUUUUUCCUUCAACUGAUGAAGCUUUUGAUUUUAAAGGGACUGUAGCUAUGAGCAUCACACCAAUUCUCCUUACCACUGCUACACAGCAUCUACCCUCGCAAAAGGAACUUACAGAUACGUAUGACUCCAGAAUGCCUGUCACUACUCUAUCUGCUCUUACACUACAACCACCAACUGAAGCUAUUAAAGACCUUAACCUUGAAGAAGAAACUGACAUCCUUAGACACAAUGAAGAUCUAUUGCUUGAAGAAGAUGUUGAAGACCUUCAACGUGGGAUGGAAAUGAACGAGAUUCAACCCGAGGCUGGCACUGUAACAGUACAUCCUGAGUAUACUACUUUUGGCCUGCUCUCUGAGGACAAUAAACUUGUAUUUGAAGACGGCACAGAGAUUAAAGAAUUUCAGCCUGAAACAGUUACUGACUCUAAUGAUGUUCUUGAGCCCAAGAACACUACUGAUGUCAUUCUGUCUGUGGUGGACAAUGCCUAUGACCUCCAGUCUAAGGAAGACACGAACAAGGACUUCAAGCCUGAGGAAGAUACUGAGAAUGGAGACUUUCACCCUGAAACAGCUACAAACAUUUUUGUUCCUCCGCUUGAAAAAAUAACUAUGGCUGAAGACCGAAAGGUUGAGAUAGAUGUUAACACUUCAGUUCUUCAGCCUGAAGAAAUUAAUAACAUUGAUGACUUUCAUCUUGAAGAGAAUACAUCCCCUACAGUUUUUCAGCCGAAGGACAUUACUGAGUUUGAAGACCUUCAUCCUCAAGAGGUUACUGACUUCAUAGUAUCUCAGUCUGAAGAAGACACUGAUUAUACUCCUCAUCAGCCUGUAGAGGUUAUUGACACAAAUAUCCAUGAAAAGAUUACAUAUACUACAGUCCCCCCUGAGGAGGUCAGCGGUACAAUGAUCCUGGAGCCUAGAGAUAUUACUGACUCCACAAUACUUCUGCCUAAAGAAGUAACUGACUUCACAGUCGCCGAACCACAAGCUGUUACUGAAACUACAGUCCAUCUACCUGAAGAAGUUACUGAUGCUAUAGUCUUUGAGCCUGAAGAACUUACGGUCUCAACAGUUCUUCUGUCUGAUGUACUUACUGAUUCUAUAGUCCUUGAGCCUCAAGAGGUAACUGACUCCACGGCUUUUCUGCCUGAGAUAGAUACUGACUCUACAGAUUUUGAGCCUCAGGAGGUUACCGACCCCACCGUUUUUCGGC
rnacentral:lncRNA from 1 species